AACGAACGCUGGCGGCAUGCCUAACACAUGCAAGUCGAACGAGAUCUUCGGGUCUAGUGGCGCACGGGUGCGUAACGCGUGGGGAUCUGCCCUUUGGUUCGGAAUAACAGUUGGAAACGACUGCUAAUACCGGAUGAUGACGAAAGUCCAAAGAUUUAUCGCCAGAGGAUGAGCCCGCGUAGGAUUAGCUAGUUGGUGUGGUAAAGGCGCACCAAGGCGACGAUCCUUAGCUGGUCUGAGAGGAUGAUCAGCCACACUGGGACUGAGACACGGCCCAGACUCCUGCGGGAGGCAGCAGUGGGGAAUAUUGGACAAUGGGCGAAAGCCUGAUCCAGCAAUGCCGCGUGAGUGAUGAAGGCCUUAGGGUUGUAAAGCUCUUUUACCCGGGAUGAUAAUGACAGUACCGGGAGAAUAAGCUCCGGCUAACUCCGUGCCAGCCGCCGCGGUAA
rnacentral:rRNA from 1 species